rnacentral:rRNA from 1 species
AUUGAACGCUGGCGGCAGGCUUAACACAUGCAAGUCGAGCGGUAACAGAGAGAAGCUUGCUUCUCUGCUGACGAGCGGCGGACGGGUGAGUAAUGCCUAGGAAUCUGCCUAGUAGUGGGGGAUAACUUGCCGAAAGGUAAGCUAAUACCGCAUACGUCCUACGGGAGAAAGGAGGGGACCUUCGGGCCUUUCGCUAUUAGAUGAGCCUAGGUCGGAUUAGUUAGUUGGUGAGGUAAUGGCUCACCAAGACCGCGAUCCGUAACUGGUCUGAGAGGAUGAUCAGUCACACUGGAACUGAGGCACGGUCCAGACUCCUACGGGAGGCAGCAGUGGGGAAUAUUGGACAAUGGGGGGAACCCUGAUCCAGCCAUGCCGCGUGUGUGAAGAAGGUCUUAGGAUUGUAAAGCACUUUAAGUUGGGAGGAAGAGCAGUUAACUAAUAUUUGACUGUUUUGACGUUACCGACAGAAUAAGCACCGGCUAACUUCGUG